rnacentral:rRNA from 1 species
AUUGAACGCUGGCGGCAGGCCUAACACAUGCAAGUCGAGCGGAUGAAGGGAGCUUGCGCCUGGAUUCAGCGGCGGACGGGUGAGUAAUGCCUAGGAAUCUGCCUGGUAGUGGUUGAUAACGUCCUGAGACGGGCGCUAAUACCGCAUACGUCCUGAUGGAGAAAGUGGGGGAUCUUCGGACCUCACGCUAUCAGAUGAGCCUAGGUCGGAUUAGCUAGUUGGUGGGGUAAAGGCCUACCAAGGCGACGAUCCGUAACUGGUCUGAGAGGAUGAUCAGUCACACUGGAACUGAGACACGGUCCAGACUCCUACGGGAGGCAGCAGUGGGGAAUAUUGGACAAUGGGCGAAAGCCUUAUCCAGCCAUGCCGCGUGUGUGAAGAAGGUCUUCGGAUUGUAAAGCACUUUAAGUUGGGAGGAAGGGCAGUAAGUUAAUACCUUGCUGUUUUGACGUUACCAACAGAAUAAGCACCGGCUAACUUCGUG